UACGAACCGUGCAAACGUUGUUCGGAUUCACUGGGCUUAAAGGGCGCGUAGGCGGCUUGCCAAGUCUGUGGUGAAAUCUUUCGGCUCAACCGGAAAAUGGCCGUGGAUACUGGCGAGCUCGAGGGAGGUAGGGGCAGUCGGAACUUCCGGUGGAGCGGUGAAAUGCGUUGAUAUCGGAAGGAACGCCGGUGGCGAAAGCGGACUGCUGGAUCUCUUCUGACGCUGAGUGCGCGAAAGCUAGGGGAGCAAACGGG
rnacentral:rRNA from 1 species